rnacentral:rRNA from 1 species
AGAGUUUGAUCCUGGCUCAGAUUGAACGCUGGCGGCAUGCUUUACACAUGCAAGUCGAACGGUAACAGGGGGCUUGCUCCGCUGACGAGUGGCGAACGGGUGAGUAAUGCAUCGGAACGUGCCGUGUAGUGGGGGAUAACGUAGCGAAAGUUACGCUAAUACCGCAUACGCCCUGAGGGGGAAAGUGGGGGACCGCAAGGCCUCACGCUAUACGAGCGGCCGAUGUCGGAUUAGCUAGUUGGUAGGGUAAAGGCCUACCAAGGCGACGAUCCGUAGCGGGUCUGAGAGGAUGAUCCGCCACACUGGGACUGAGACACGGCCCAGACUCCUACGGGAGGCAGCAGUGGGGAAUUUUGGACAAUGGGCGCAAGCCUGAUCCAGCCAUGCCGCGUGAGUGAAGAAGGCCUUCGGGUUGUAAAGCUCUUUCAGACGGAAAGAAAUCGGUGUGUCUAAUACACGCACUGGAUGACGGUACCGUAAGAAGAAGCACCGGCUAACUACGUGCCAGCAGCCGCGGUAAUACGUAGGGUGCGAGCGUUAAUCGGAAUUACUGGGCGUAAAGCGUGCGCAGGCGGUUAUGUAAGACAGAUGUGAAAUCCCCGGGCUCAACCUGGGAACCGCGUUUGUGACUGCAUAACUAGAGUACGGCAGAGGGAGGUGGAAUUCCACGUGUAGCAGUGAAAUGCGUAGAGAUGUGGAGGAACACCGAUGGCGAAGGCAG